UUCGCAAUGCCCGAAAGGGUGACGAAGCGACGCCGCGUGGGUGAGGAAGGCCUUCGGGUUGUAAAGCCCUGUCAGGAGUUAAGAAAUAUAAGUGCGCUAAUAUCGCAUUUAUUUGACGAAGGCUCCAAAGGAAGCCACGGCUAACUCCGUGCCAGCAGCCGCGGUAAUACAGAGGUGGCAAGCGUUGUUCGGAAUUAUUGGGCGUAAAGAGCACGUAGGUGGGUUUGUAAGUCAGAUGUGAAAGCCUUCUGUUCAACGGAAGAAUUGCAUCUGAAACUACAAGUCUUGAGUGUAGGAGGGGAGAAUGGAACUUCUGGUGGAGCGGUGAAAUGCGUAGAUAUCAGAAGGAACGCCGGCGGCGAAAGCGAUUCUCUGGCCUAUUACUGACACUCAGUGUGCGAAAGCUAGGGGAGCAAACGGGAUUAGAUACCCCGGUAGUCCUAACCGUAAACGAUGGGCACUAAGUAGAGGGGUUUU
rnacentral:rRNA from 1 species